GCCGUCUAGCUCAGUCGGUAGAGCGCAUAGAGCGCAAGGCUCUUAACCUUGUGGUCGUGGGUUUGAGCCCCACGGUGGGCC
rnacentral:tRNA from 1 species